UGUAUUUACAAUAAAUUAUAUUUUAAUAUUUUAUAUCAUGGGAAUGAGUAUAGGUUGAAAUCAUGUUAAAUGUAGAAAAUACAAAAAUGUAAUUCAGUUAAGUAACUGAAAGGAAAAGCAGACAUCACAUACAAGGGUGUAUAACAAGGUAGGGGAUAAAAUGUAUGCUAUUUAACAGUUGGUUGAUUUGAGUUGUAACUUUUACAUGUUUACAUCUACAAUGUGAGAGGCAUCCUUUGGCCUUUAGCCUUAGACCCCAUGAAUAUGAUGGGUAAGCUUGAAAGACAAGGAUGGAAAUGAAAUCUCAUUAGUUGAGAGAGGGUCCCAUUGUGUGUGUGCUGGGCUCAGACUUGGGUGGGUGUGGUGGGUAGUACAGGAAGACUGAUUGGAGAAUGUCUCUCUCCAGAGUUGCUAGUUAUGGCCCUGGAUUAAUUGUUUGCUAUCACCAGUGGUGGUUCUAUGGUGGGGUUGAGAGGAAGAAGGCUCAGCUUGAGGGCAAGAUUGCAGACAACAAAGGACUGAACUGCAAGCAGGAUCACUGAGGCAAACAUUUGUUUAUACAAAAAAGUCAGAGACAUUGGUGGUGGUGUUUGGGGUGGUGGGCAGAGCAGACAGGAAAUGCCUGCCCUACCUGCUCUCUGGAAGUUCCAGUGGUACAGUGGCACCCUUGGUUACAGGCUCCCAGAAACCAAUUGUACUGGAUUCCAGGGAAACUUCCCACACUGGUCAGGAUUGUCCCAGGCUCUGAGCUGGUGAAACACAUCACUGAUUCCAGCUCAGUAGAAAAGGAGGAAAAAAAAAUGAGGGAUAUUUUUAAUCUAUCCCAUGUGAUUAAGAAUAGCAUUUGCAGUAAAGUCAUAUAAACAGUUUAGUCAAAAACACCUCGCCAGGCAUGUCUCCUAUGACAAAAUUUAUGUUCUGUCUGUGCUCCGCUCUGCUGGGUUACUGCAGCUGAACCAAGAUUGAUGGUGUGUUGUCUUUGUGCCAGUAGCUGAACUAGGGACUGAGAGAACUUUGGUCAGGAGAGAACUGCUAUCAGUGUUGAGUGGGCUGCAUCCACUGUGAGAGAAAGUUGUGCCUUUGAGAAAUAGCUACUGAAACAAAUCGGAGAAAUUUUAAAAUAACCAUGUGGGACUAUUCAUUUGGCUAGCAGAGAAUGCAUGUUUUUUACCAAAGUGAUUGCCAUCCUUUGCAAACAGUGUCACCAAAGCCCAAAUUGAUGAUUGCCUUUCCCAAGGUGAAACAUUAGUGCCAGUCACAAAUCAGCCAAAGACCAUAAAGGGAGGGGCUUGCUGUUUUCAUAUCUGUGUCUCCAGGACCUAGUUCAGUUGUUCUCAACCCUGGAGGCACAUUACAAAGAUCAGAGGAACUCUAAUGCCUAAGUCUCAUUUCAGACCAAUUAAAUCAGAAUCUCUUAGACAUUGGGCACUGGCACAUUCCAUUUUUUUAAGUUUCCCAGGUGAUUGUAAAGUGCAGUCAUGGUUGGAUCUACUAGGCCAGCUAUCGAGCUAUCAAUUACAUAGUAAUUGCUCAAUAAACAUUCAGUAAACUAAAUCUGGCAUAAGUACCUUUUGCAGAUUCCCCUUUAACUUAGAAAGGGAAAGGAUGGCUGGACUGUAAUCCCAGCCCUUUUAGGAUGCAGAGGUGGGUGGAUUGCUUGAGCCCAGGAGUUUGAGGCAGCCUGGGUCACAUAGUGAGAUCCCAUCUCUACCAAAAAAAAAAAAAAAAAAAGAAACAGAUGAGGAGAGGACUGCAACCUUUUAUUGUCAAACUGCAGGUAGAACCAGAGCAUUUUAUCUAGAGGUAUAGUCUCAUGGCCAUUAAAAAGAUGUGUGGGGUGACUUCAGGCUCUUUUAGGAAGUAGCAAGGUGAUAGCCCAGGGCUGUGAUGAAAGCAUUAGAAUUUUCAGGUUGUACCACAGUUGCUCAUUUUGUAGAAUGAAAAAUAUCUGUUCAGAUUUGCCCGUCUGUGCAUUUAUCUUAGAUGCAGCUUCCUCUGGUACCUAGAGGAAAGUGUGACCUAGGGUUCCUAGCAAACGGACAAGAAUGUUCAUUUUCUGUGUGCAAAAAAAUGCAUAACUCCAGACCACUCGGUUCUAGGAGCAUUGCAUUUGUGCCAAAAUAUAGGUCUGGAUUUAAAGGGGGCCUCUAAUUUAUAUACUUUGUAUUUGUUGAAGACCAAAGAAUUAUAUAGGAAUUUGUGUACAAGAUCAAUAUUAACACAUUAAACUAGCAUUUCUAAUGCUAAUGAAUAUAUUGGGAGCAAAUGUUAAUGGCUCUUACUUUUCCUUUCUCUUAUUCCAUGGGUAGGGGAAUGAGUGUCUACCUAUGCACAGAUGGCUACUUUCGGUAGUGUUUUAAAUUAUAACCGGUUCUUUAUGGGAAGUUUCCUAAUUUGGAUUAUUGGCUGUGUAUGGCUGAGUCCAAGAGUGGGCCAAGUUAUGACUGUCAAAAGGAAGAACAGUACGCUAGUGUUGCAAUGUUUUUCAUUGUUACUUUGUACCCUCUAGUAACUUGUCUUUUUUUUUUUUUUUUUUUUAAUGAGACUGAGUUUUGCUCUUGUUACCCAGGCUGGAGUGCAAUGGCGCGAUCUCGGCUCACCGCAACUUCCGCCUCCUGGGUUCAGGCAAUUCUCCUGCCUCAGCCUCCUGAGUAGCUGGGAUUACAGGCACGCGCCACCAUGCCCAGCUAAUUUUUUGUAUUUUUAGUAGAGACGGGGUUUCACCAUGUUGACCGGGAUGGUCUCGAUCUCUUAACCUCGUGAUCCACCCGCCUCAGUCUCCCAAAGUGCUGGGAUUACAGGCUUGAGCCACCACGCCCGACCGUAACUUGUCUUAAUAAAAGAUAUGCUUAAACGUUUUUGGGUUGCUUAAUAACUUAUAUAAGCUACUUUAAGUUAUAAAAAUCAUAAAAGAAUGAAUGGAAAAAUAGAUAGAUAGAUAGAUAGAUAGAUAGAUAGAUAGAUAGAUAGAUAGAUGAAUGCCCCAACAACAGAUACUGUAGACACCCGUGGCUGCCCCAUAAGUUCUGGGAUACAAAACUGUCCCAUCUUAGUUAUAGAUUCAUUCAGGUUUUGUAUGCAGAGAAGGAGCUGUUAUCUACCCAUUGAUAGGGAACCUUAUAUUGAUAUCACUUAAUGUAAGAUUAUGUUCUGUUGUGGUCAUCAGCCCAUAAUUUCAGAUGUUUCUUGUGUCCUUGUGUCUGUAAUGGACAGCAAAGGUGGAAUAAAAUGACAUGUUUAGAGUAUAUCACAAUAGAAAUUAUUUUUAAAAAACAUACUUUAUCUUUCAUUAUCUUUACUGCCUUAUACAUUUAAUGAACAAUAAGAAAGCUUUUUUAAAAGAGUGCUGCCACUUGUAAGAUGAGAAAAGUGUUGCUAAAUCUUGAUAAUUUCAUAGAUGGAGACCUGGAAUUAUCUAGACCACUUUAUAGAUGAGGGAACUGAAACCCAGAGAGACUGAUUUGUCUUAGAUCAUGCAACAGCACACACAGAACUGGGGCCCAGGUGGAAUAUAACCAGUCAAGCUUGAUCAGGAAGCAAAGCCUAAUGGGGUUCCUCAUCACAUACAGAAUUGACAGAGUCCUAUUUUUCUCUACUAUGAAUAGAGAAAAUCUACUUAUCAAGGCAAAGAGAUAUGGGAGGUAGGAAUGGGGAGGAAUAAGAAGUUGUGGGAAAGGGACGGUAAAUGUGUUUGCUAGGAGUGAGCAUAGCUGUAGAUACUAUCUUUUUACUAGCUGUGGGCACUGUCAGGAUUUCAUUGGGAAUUGGCCACUUGGAAAUUGAUAGCGUUCUGAACUUAGGUGGUAGCCCCAUCGUAUCACUCGCAGAAUUGACUUAAGGUGCCUGGGUUCUGUCCUUUUCACUAACUGACCCCUUAGCAUGACAACACCACCCUUCUUGCUCUGAUGGUAAUCCCACGACUCUAAGUUGCAAGUGGUCCCCACUACAGUGUACCAUUUGAGUCAGUCUAGUUUUGCAACUGUCUCUAGGACAGAAUUUCUAGUCCAGACAUUUUAGGAAAACAAUACGAGGGAUGUUCAAAAAGUUCAUGGAAAAUGUGUAUUAUAGAAAAAUUAUGCAUGGCUUUCCAUGUCUUUUUUUGCAGCAAAAUCAGUUCAUACUAAUUUGUUAUAACGUGUGAACAGGAUCUAGCUUGAGGCUAAAAAGGAUAAGACAUCAGUUUGAAAAGAGCCCAUAUAACAGCAAAAUGAAUUCUGCUGAAAUUGAAGCAAAAACAAACAUCAAAUUGAUGAUGAAGCUUGGGAGAAAGAAUGGUGAAAGCAUUAACAAUUUACAAAAAGUGUAUGCCUCAAAGAAAUCAGCAAUUUACAAAUGGAUAACUUCUUUUAAGAAGGAUCGAGAUGAUGUUGAAGAUGAAGCCCUCUGCAACAGACCAUGCACAUCAAUUUGUGAGGAAAAAAAAAAUCAUCUUGUUUGUGCCCUAAUUGAGGAGGAUCAGCAACUAACAGCAGAAACAAUGUACAACACCACUGACAUCUCAACUGGUUCAGCUUACACUAUUCUGGCUGGAAAAUUAAAAUUGAGCAAACUUUCCACUUGAUGAGUGCCAAAAUUGUUGCACCUAGAACAGGGGCAGAAAAGAGCAGAGCUUUCAACAGGAAAUUUAAACAAAUAGGAUCAAGAUCUGAUGCGUUUCUUUGAAGAAUUGUAACAGGAGAUGAAACAUGGCCUUACCACUAUGAUCCAGAAGACAAAGCACAAUCAAACCCGUGGCUACCAGGAGCUGGAAGUGGCCCAGUCAAAGCAAAAGUGAACUGGUCAAGAGCAAAGGUCGUGGCAACAGCUUUUUGGAUGCUCAGAGCAUUUUGCCUGUUGACUUUCUGGAGGGCCAAAGAAUGAUAACAUGUGCUUAUUAUGAGAGUGUUUUGAGAAGGUUAGCCAAAACUUUAACAGAAAAACGUCUGGGAAAGCUUCACUAGAGAGUCCUUUUCUACCACAACACUCCCAUUCAUUUCUCUCACCAAACGGGCAAUUUUGCAAGAGUUUCCAUGGGAGAUCAUUAGGCAUCCACCUUACAGUUCUGAUUUGGCUCUUUCUGACUUCCUUCUCUUUCUUAAUCAUAAAAAGAAAAUCUUUAAAGGGCAUUCAUUUUUUGGUCAGUUAAAAAUAUAAAAAGAACUGCCCUGACAUGGUUGGAUUCCCAGGACCCUCAGCUCUUUAGAGAUGAAAUGAAUGCCUGGUAUCAUCACUUACAAAAGUGUUUUCUUGGCCUUCAUGGGGCUUAUGUUGAGAAGUUAAUGGUUUUUAUUUUUAUCUUUUAAUUCAAUUUUUUCCACUAAGUUUUUGAAGUCUCCUCAUAAAAGUAACAUGACAAAUUAAACAUUGAUAUCACAGUGAUGAAUGAUAACAGCAUUCCUCAGCAAUUGUAUUUUACAGAGUCUGCAGAGAAGGGAAGAGUGAAUUAUUUCAUACCAAUUGAUAUGUUCCUAAGAUUGACUUGAAUGGGAUUUUAUUGCAUUGUCCACAUGCAGGCAAGGUCAGGGAGGUUAGGUCAUCUAUUUGUCAGUAUUUUUAACCUUCUUCUUGUUGUACGAAGAAGGGGUUUUUUGGUAGUGAAAGUGAAUUUGACUGGGAGUCUGAAAACCUGGGUUUGGAAGCCAGUUAUGCUAGGAGGGAGUUGCUUGAGGUUGCAUUGUCCCCCUUGGGCCUCAUUUCUUCAUCUGAGUAAUCAGAUAGUGACACUAGCAAGCCUCUGGAUUUUCUUUUGGUUCUGACACUCUAACUAGUAUGUUAUGGUUCUAAUUAUUUCUUCUAUCCUCUUUUUCCCCAUACAUAGAUCCCUGAUAGCAGUAUGUGGAGAGGGGGACCUGCAAGCUAGCCAAUGCUUGGGAUUUACGCACUGGGCUAUUUAUGACUAGUCCACCAGCUGUGGCAUCCUUCACCGGGCUACUUCCUCUCUUAGACUUGUCACCUAUAAACCUCACUGAGCAUGCUCAUCAUUCCUUUUUCUCUUGAAAAAGCCAUUCACUUCUAAGAGACUUCAAAUUCUUUCUCCCGAGCCAUAGUCUCUCCACCCUCUAGUAAGGGAGACUCUGGUACAAAAAUUUCCCCUUUCUGUGCUUAGUACCUAAUUCUAGACCUCAGUCUGAAGAUACAUAGAGGAAAUUGUCUACUUGGAAACCUGUUAAUGUAGCCUCAUCAGAGUAGCCAUAUUUUUAUUUGGUGAUUUUGAGAUUUGAAACAUACAAGAUAACUUUGAAAAUAAUUUGACACUUUAAAUUUCAUUUUUUGUUCCAAAAAAGCAUCUAGUACAUACAAACUUAAACUUUUAGAAAUACGCUGCAUAUGAUCAGCUAUGCUUUCUGCUGAUCUUUACGCUUCCAUAGUUCCUUGGGCUCUCUUUGUAAUGGUAUUCUUUGGUCCUAGAGGAAGCCUUUUACCCAGGAAAUGAAAGUCUGCUGUUUUCUCUGACAACCUUUAUUCUGUGUUUCUUUGGGAUAGAUUCCUGAGUCAUGUAACCAGUGAAAAAAUGCCAAGGUAUUUUAUUAAAAUCUCCCUGGAAUCUGUGAGACAUCAAAGAAUUACAGCAGCAUUAGAACAUUUUUUGACCUAAAAGGGUUUGACUGUUCUAGAAUCCAAAUCCUCUCUCUACAGAUAAUGAAACAGAACCAGAAAGGCCAAGUAACUUGUUGGGGUCACAGAGCUUGCAAGGAACACGGCAGGAGAAGUAAAACAUUGGUCUCUUAAUUUUUAGCACACACAUUUUUAGGAGGUUGGGAAGGUAGAGUGAAUGGAACAAACCUUUUGGUGACUCCAUGCUCUAAGGAAGUUCAUUUUUCAAUGUUGCAUUUUAAUGUUUUGUUAUUGUUUUAUCUUUUUAUCUUUUUUUUUUUUUUUUGAGAUGGAGUUUCGCUCUUGUUACCCAGGCUGGAGUGCAAUGGUGCGAUCUCGGCUCACGGCAACCUCCUCCUCCUGGGUUCAGGCAAUUCUCCUGUCUCAGCCUCCUGAGUAGCUGGGAUUACAGGCACGCGCCACCAUGCCCAGCUAAUUUUUUGUAUUUUUAGUAGAGACGGGGUUUCACCACGUUGACCAGGAUGGUCUCGAUCUCUUGACCUCGUGAUCCACCCGCUUCGGCCUCCCAAAGUGCUGGGAUUACAGGCUUGAGCCACCAUGCUUGGCCUGUUUUAUCUUUUAACAAAAAUCUCCAAUGUUAUAAAACCAUAUCCAGCACUAUAAAAUAUAUUUAAUAUGUAUGGCAAGAAUGUCUUCUUUGACCAGGGUAGUAAACUCAAAUGCUGCAGGGGUCAGGUAGGGUACGGGGAACAAAGCCAAUACGAAUGGACGCUUCUGGCAAAGCCUUCCAGUUGCCUUGCCCUCCCCCUUUCUCCUUCUCUGAUACAGACAAAGCGCUGGACUGACAAAACAGUGAAGCCAGUGGGUGACCAAUGGACUUCUCCUAAUGGUGACUGCAGGUUCUUUUACUGUAAUACAUACAAGCAAGGAUUCCUCAUCCCCAGCAUAGUACCUUCAAUUUCAUAGGUAGCCAAUAAAUUUUUUUUCCAGUGGGUUAGUGUUUAAAUAUGUAUUGAGACUGGAAGUUUAAAUUCAGUGUAAUUAUCUGCUUUUGUGAAGAUAAACUAGUUCAGAUCUUCAGGAAAAUCUUUCUAAAAUUUACCGUGUAGAGUGUGCCAAUUCUUAAACUGUGAGUACCUUGGGAAGGUCCUCAGUCAUUCACUUUUUUUUGAGAUGGGGUCUUGUUCUGUCACCCAGGCUGUAGUGCAGCAAUGCUAUCUCAGCUCACGGCAGCCUCCUUCUCCCAGGCUCAAAUGAUCCUCCCACCUCAGCCUCCUGAAUAGCUGGGACCACAGGCACAUGCCAUCAUGCCCAGCUAAUUUUUGUAGUUUUGGUAGAGACAGGGUUUCACCAUGAUGCCCAGGCCAAUCUUGAACUCCUGAGCCCAAGUUAUCUGCCACCUCAGCCUCCCGAAGUGCUGGGAUUUUACAGGUGUGAGCCACUGUGCCCAGCCAGUCAUUCACAACUUAAUGUGAAUCACAUUUGCUUUGCUUUCUUCCUCAAUUGCAUUUGAAUGGAGGAAGAGGUAAAGGAAAAAAAGAAUUUUAUGCCGGGUGUGGGGACUAGGGAGUCUGGCCUCACUACAAAAAUGGACGACAGGAAGAAGGGCUUUGGAAGGCAGAAUGAAAAGCAGAAAGAAAGAUGAGAGUAGUAAACAGUGCCUAUUUCACAAUUUGGUUUAAGGCUGGCAUUGUGGGAUUCCAGUAUGAAGGAAAUGGGUUCACUUUCAGAUGCAGAUGACUCAUAAGCAAGCUCAUUAUAAAUCCUUUGGAAAAAAAAUUGGCCCUGUAUUCUUUCUUUAUCUGAAUCUUUUCCUGCCUUUAAUUUCAAUCUCUUUCUCUGUCUCUCUCUCUCUCUCUCUCUCCAAACCACUAUACCAGAUAAACAUAUUUCCCCAUUUAUCACUGAGGCCAGGUAUCUUCAGUUACAUCACCAUCAUUUUAACCACAACACAGCCUGGAGUUCAUCACACCCAUCAGGGCUUCAGGCAACCUGCCCGACACAUGUGUUUGGUUAGAGGGAAUCAGGAGCAGAAGUGCUCUCAAUUGCACUUUUCAAGACCUGUUAUGCACUCGUGCCAACAGAUGGGGAAAAUUUCCUUCCAAAGCUGCCAGGAAGAGCCUCCAGCUGUUUUCACUGAGCUAAAGUGCACCUGCACCAGAGGCUGCUUGUUACAGCAGCUGCCAAGAUGUGUUGGGGAAGCAAGCCACACUUAGCAUCAUGCAGUGGUGUCAUGGACAAUUUGGAGCCAAGAAGAUUCAGAGGAAAGGAUACUGGGCUUCACAUCAGAUGACCUGGGUUUAGUUUCUAGCCCUUUCUUCACAGGUGGUCUUGAGUAAGUCCCUCAACCUCCCCAAGCUUAGGUCUCCUGGUCUGUAAAUAGAUUCUAGCUUCUGCUCUACUUCUCAAUUAUGGCUGCUAUUUCUUUAGCUCUUGCUCUAUACUUUUGAACAGAGACUUGCUCUGUUGCCCAGGCUGGAGUGCAGUGGCGCAAUCUGGGCUCACUGCAACUUCUGCCUCCCAAGUUCAAGCGAUUCUUCUGCCUCAGCUUCCCAAGUAGCUGGGACUACAGGCAUGAGCCACCAUGCCCAGCUAAUUUUUGUAUUUUUUUUUUUUUUAGUAGAGACGGGUUUCACUACAUGCUGGCCAGGCUGAUCUUGAACUCCUGACCUCAGGUGUUCCACCUGUCUUGGCCUCCCAAAGUUCUGGGAUUACAGGCAUGUGCCACCACACCCAGCCCAACAUACAUUUCUUAAAUAAGCAGCCAACAGAGUCUUUUCAGGCCAGUGUCAAAACUGGACCAUGCAAGAUUUUCUUCAGUAUUGUAGGGAGGUUUUAGUAAUAGGGAAAAGAAAAUGUGGAAUUAAUCUGUUUCAUGGCAGCAAAGCAUGCUUUUUCAAAUCUUUGUGUCUUCGUGGCUUCCAAGGUAUCUGCAUGUCUUUUUUCUACAGACACCUCUCUGACUCAUAUGGCCAGUGGAACUUGCAUAUUUUACAAAAGAGUUACCCAGACCUGGGUUGAAAACUCUGCUCAAACACUGACACAUGGGUGUGCCAAGCAAGUUCGUUAACGUCUAUAUCUCCUGACAACAAAACCUAAAACCUCCCUCUUGGGAAAGGUAAAGAGUUAAUAUAUGAAAUGUACUAACACAAAAUGGGAUCAUAUGUGGCUGGUGUGUGUGUGUGUGUGUGUGUGUGUGUGUGUGUGUGUCUAUCUCCUAAUCUUUCAGUUCUUUCCGUUGCCACAGUUUGUCUGCUGCAAGCCUCUGUGAGAAGUGGUCCUGGUGGCCGUCCAGUUGGGCUGGCUGGUGCUGCUGGUGGAGCUGCUCCGACUCACUGAUUUCAGAGUUUCCACUGGCCUCUCCACCAUGCACCUUCAAAUGUGUCCUUAGCUAGUUUGGUACUAGAUGGACUGCUUGCUCUAGCAAACACAUCUGAAUGAUUUCUUUUGCAAGAAAAUUGUAUUAAGUGCUUUGUUUUUUCCCACGGGAAAACAUCCCCCUGGUGCCUGAUGGUUGGAAAUGUUACCCUAGAUCUAUCAAUGAGUAAAUUCUCUGGAAGGAAAUGAAGCCUUGGGGCAGAAGGAAUAUUCAUUCUUCAAGGGCACAACUGAAUUACUUUCUCAUAUAUUUGAGAGUCCUAAAAGCAUUUUUUUUUCUUCACAUCCUGAGAGGAUUUAAACUUGUUUCAAAAAUGCAUGCCAUAAAAAUUAAAUAACAAAGGUGUCAGAUGUAGGUAAGAAUUCAAAACACUAGGAAAGAGCAGCAUCUUAUUGCUACUAUUGUCAGGUGGCCAAUUUGUUAUCAGGCUUCUCAGUGGUGAAAAUAGAGAAACUCUCUUUUUUAAGAGCUAUUGCGUCAUAUAUAAAUGCAAACUAACUUUUUCUCAAGCCAAAAGGAAUUCUUUGUGACCUUUCUCCCAAGGAAAGGCAUUACAAUAACACUCUAAGUCCUAGUUUGACUCAAAUUUCUGCACAACUCAAAACCCUGGGGACAUUUUGUCAGUUAUCUUGGGCCUAGGAAAGAAGUAUAGCAGUGUUUAUGUGCACACAGACAGAAAAAGACUACAAUCUCUAAUCGCCUAUGCUUGGGCGUCAGGGUGAUGUGAGCCUGCCCUGGUUCUUCUACAUGGCAGCAUUAUGUAAUGUAGCAUAAUUGCAAACAGUACUAAAUGUGAUUUUAGAUUUUUUUUUUCUUGAGACGUAGUUUCACUCUUGUUGCCCAGGCUGGAGUACAAUUGUGUGAACUCAGCUCACUGCAACUUCCACCUUUAGGGUUCAAACAGUUCUUGAGCCUCAGCCUCCUAAGUAGCUGAGAUUACAGACAUCUGCCACCAAGCCCAGCUAAUUUUUGUAUUUUUAGCAAGACAGAGUUUCACCAUGUUGUCCAGGCUGGUCUCAUACUCUUGACAUCAGGUGAUCCUCCCAUCUUGGCCUCCCAAAGUACUGGGAUUACAGGUGUGAGCCACCGUUCCUGGCAGAUUUUAGAUAAUUUAACUUAAGGGAAAGUUGUAUUAGGUUGGUACAAAAGUAAUUGCGGGUUUUGCUAUGGCAAUUACUAUUGCAUCCACAUAAUAUUUCUCCUUUAAGGUGUGCCAAAAUAUCUCUGUCCUAUGAUGUUCUGGGGCAUUUCAGAAAUCCCUGGCAUAACCCCUAAGAAGUAUCAGAGACCUCCUGUGGCCUCUGCAUUGAUAUGUCUCAAUUAAAGAAGUGCAGUGAUUCAUUUUCAUGUCUGCUCCUCAGUAAGCCUCUGAGAGUCCCGAGGGGAGGCUGCCUCUCCUUCUCCAUCAUUGAAUGCUGGUGCCAAGCUUGGUGCCCAGCCUGGUGCCUUCUAUAGUGAACAUGGAGCAGAAGAGCGAAGAUGAUGUGUGGUUCUAAGUACUUUACAUGGUGUUUCUCAUUUAGUCCUUCUAACAACUGUAUGAGGUAGUUACUCUUAUUAUCCCUAUUUUACAGAUGAAGAAACCAUGGCCUAAAGAGUAAUUCCCUCUUUACUAGAAGUAGAUGUUAAAAGAGAGAAUUUAAGGCCAUUAUCUCAACCAAUACACUAUAAUGAAGACUGAGUCUGAAUUUUCAAGGAGGUCAGCCAGUCUUGGGCUUGGGAGGCUCUAAACAUGUCAGUGGAUUGCGUCACAGAAAAAGUAAAAUCUUGUGUGUAUUGAUAUGCUUCUGUUUGAAUUCCCUCUUACUCUCACAGUCCCAGGAAUGAGGUCCCUCUCUGUUGGCCAACAGACAUUAUAUUCUGAAGCCAUGGAGUAUCCCUAGGGCAAGCAUGGCUGAGCAAACUGAGUAGUUUUAUAGAUCUUUAUUUCUUAAAGAAAGAUUCUUUAUUUCUUAAAGCAUGGUAUCAUUUUUAAAUUUAGUAAUAAAGCUAAAUAGGUGUGUGGAUGGCAUUGCAUUAACUUAUUGGAAGCUACUAGGUAGAAAAAUAGAAGCAAUAAUCUUUGCUUCUAAUUUCUCCUAAAUAUUUACUCUCUCUGAAAGCAAACUACUGUUUACAACUUUGUGUUAAUUCACCCUAAACUCAGCAGAUUCUUAAGUGGUCUGACAUCUUUAAAUAGUUUUCUGGGGGAAAGAAUGAACCAGUUGCACUAAUCUAAUGUUGCCAUUUUCUCUAACAUUUUGAUAAAUAACCCCUGUGCUGAAAGGGAACUAUGUUCUUUUGAUAUGCUUCACAUAUUUUUUUCCAAGGGCAUCCCAAAUGGGUUGACUGCAAAUAUUUCUACUAAUGAGAUGGCUUUAAAAUAUUACUGCUGCGAUUAUAGGCAUAAAUAGUGAGUUUCAUUAGGUUGCUUGAGUCCCACUUUGAUGGCAUAGUAAAUCUCAGAACAACCAUGCAUAGUAAAUAGGUGAAGAGCUUUUUGGAUGUAAUUAAUUUGUUCUAACAUCUCUACUAGCUCUCUCAACAUUGCAGUUCUAACUCAGUCUCAAGCUACUUUAAGUAAAGGAAACUACUGAAGACUGUUAUAAGGACUCUGCAUGAACCCAAAGGAUUACUACAAGAAGAAAAAAAAAAGCUCUCCAGUUUGAGAGAGACAUGAAGGGUUCUCCAGAAAACAGAACUGAUACGAUAUAUAUAUAGGAAGAGAGUCAUUAUAAAGAAUUGGUUCACACAAUUAUGAAAGCUGAGAAAUCCCACAAUCUGCCAUUUGCAAGCUGGAGUCAGGAAAGCUAAUGGUGAGCCUCAGUCCAAGUCUGAAGACUUGGGACCUAGAGCAGCCAAUGGUGUAAAUUUCAGUCUGGGUCCGAAGGCCUGAGAAUCAGAAACACUGAGUGCAGAAGAAGAUGGAUGUCUCUUCUCUAGCAAUCAGUUUCUGUGCCUUCCACCCUAAGAGGCAGGACACUAUAGAAAAGCCUAUUUUGAUGGACAGACUAUGUCAUCAAUUUCAACUACAAGCCUGGACCUGUGAAAAACUUGACUGGUUAGAAAAUUAAUAUUUGUAUAGUACGUGGCAUGCCAAGCACUCUUUUGAACACUCUAACAAUAUAAACUCAUUUAGUACUCAUAAUCUCUGUGCGAAGUAGGUACUAUUAUGAUUUCUAUCUUACAGAUGAGGAAACCGAGGCCCAGAGAGACCAAAUAAUGUGCCCUAGGUUCAUAGAUACUAAGUGGCAGAACUACAAUUUGAACCCAAGUGGUCUUGUUCCAGAGGCCAUGGUCUCAAUGACAAAAUCAUGCCCCCACUCCUGGUAUAACACCGUCUCACUCUCUUUAAACAGCUUUUUUUUUUCUUCUGUUAAUAGUGAUAGUACUUAAUUUUGUUGAUGAAAGCGUUAAGGCAGUGUGUUCUUAGUCUCAGCUCAGUAGAAUCACCUUCAAGAGUUUUGAGGAAAUACCAGUACUUUGCUUCUAUCCCAGAAAUUAUGAUUUGGUGAGUGCCAACCUUUGCAUUAAAAAGAAACAACUGCCCAGAUUGCAGACAGUGCUCAUGGACAGCUGGAGCUGCGAUUUACUGGAUUAGGUCACCAAGGCAUCUUGCAAUGUCUGGUAGGUAGACAUUAUCUUCAUUAUCACCAAUUAUUUGGGUCUUGGGUACUGGGAAAAUUGGAAAGAACAGUGUUAUUUGACAUCCUUAAAUCCCCAGUGUUUUACCUGUUUGUAUUUUAGGUUUCCAGAUUUAGCAGUAACCCUGUGACUCAGCUUCUCAGUGCAAACGGGUCUUUGCACACCAUGCACACACCCCACACCUGUUCAGAGCUGACAUUUACUCUCUAUCAUCCUCCCAGUUGGUGUCCAUUCCGUCUCUCAGUUCUGAGGCCUUUGUUGUGAAUAUCACCCUGUCCCUGUUCAGUUCAAUCAAAUCACAGUGUGUGGAUCUUCACUCUAACAGAUGAAUAAUGUCAGAGAAUAUGAAUCAGAAGCUAAGCUGGGGUUUCAUUGCUGUUCUUGGAAAUGAUUUUGGCUACAGAACACUUUAUUCUUCCUGUUUUCAUGCCAAAGCACUCAAACUUGUAAAGGAGAAAUCAUACCACCUGGGUUUAGCCUAAGCUGCUCAUGGACCUCCCUAGUCUCUGGAGUCAUCACUAGCUAAAAUAUGUUAAAUUCCAGUGUCCUCUGCCUCACUCUUAACCCUGAUAGGCAAUACAGAGCAUUAGCUCCUGGGAUCUGGUACGAUGUCCUGGGGUGAACCUGUGUGCACACAAACCAUCCUGUACCUCUAGCACAGCCAUGCUGCUGCCCAUUCUCACUGCAGUGAACCCUGAAAUGCCAAAGACAUGGUUGUCAAUAGCAAAGCAGAGCAUGGCAUGGUUGCUCACCCGCUGUCUUUUUAAUACUACCACAGUCCUUAUUAAUGCAGGUCAUAGAGCCAUUUGUGGCCCAGUGUUUUGUAGAGAUUUAGGGGAACAGAUUUUUCUGGCUUUUCCAACAGCCCAGCCUUACUCCUGGUCUCAGAUAGGAGACCAUGGAGCUGGGCUGGAACAGACUCGGGCGGCAGGAUGCAAGCUGUGUCAUAGUGUCUUUCCCUCCAACAUCCAAGGCCUGGCACUUCCUUCCGGAGGAGGUUCUCUCUCUGUGGCCUCAUCUGCCUCUCAUGAAAGUGGGCUUUUGAGAGUCUGCCUUUCUCUGGUUUGCCAAAUGUGCUGCCCUGACCCCCACAAGCCUGCUUUUACUCCCUGUUAGGUUGCUCCUCUUAAGAUUGGCUCUAUGUUCCCAGAGCACAUCUGUGAUUUCAUUUUUGUAAAUAAUAUAUUCUCCUUGAAAUAUAUAUUAUUUUAUAAAUAAUAAUUUCCCCUGGGUAAUUCAGAUGUAGUUCUUUUUCUUCUAAUCAUAGGACUGCAGCUUAGGCUGGUUCUUUGGCCAUGUGGACCAGUGAGGAUGUGCUAUUUCUUAGCCAUUCCUUCAACAAGCAUCUUUUGAGUAACUACUAUUAGCCAUGUAUGGAGAUAGCACAGGAGCAGAUCCAAAGAUGAAACACACUUGCUCUGCUUUCUACCCUUGAAACUGAGCCUCCAUAGCAGAACACAAAGACAUAGACAGAGUCGUUGUAAUGCAGCAUGCUAUGGCAUGAACGUUUAUGUUUGCCCAAAUUCAUAUGCUGGAAUUCUCACCCACAAAAUGAUGGCAUUAGAAGGGUCAGGCCUUUGAGAGGUGAUUAGGUCAGGGGGGCGGAGCCAUCAUAAAUGGGAUUUAGCACACUUAUAAAAGAGGCCCAAGAGAGACCCUUGCCCCUUCUACCAUGUGAGGAUACGGUGAGGAAAUCAAUUAUCUGUGGAGAAGCAGGCCCUUACCCAACACACAGCCAUCAGAACUGAGAAAUACAUUUUGGCUAUUGAUAAGCCACCCAGUAUAUGAUACUUUGUUAUAGCAGCCUGAAUAGCUUAGGACACAGGAUUAUAUACUCUGCAGCACAGGCAGACAGACAUAGAAGAAGGGCCAUUUGAACUGGAUCUUGAGAAAUGAAUGGGAAUAUAUUAGUUUGUAGUAACUAAGUACCACAAACUGGAUGGCUUAAACAACAGAAAUUUUUAUUGUCUAACUAUUUUGGAGGCCAGAAGACCAAGAUUAUUGACACUUGUGUCGGGUGAAUCUGUUUGAUGGCCCUCUCCAAGCUCCUGGAUUUCCUGGCCUCAGCACUGCCUGUGGAUAGAGGUAGGAGGCUGGGCAUCUGGGAACCGGACCUUUCAAAGUGUCUGCUCAGAGCUUCCCUGUGUUGGGUGGAUGGCAUCGAGGUUAUGAGGGUGUUGGUAGGAGCUAGAGCUGGCUCCCAUCCCAGCCCUGUACUUUAGAGCAAGUCACAUGAAUUCUCUAAGCCUAGUUUCUUCCUCCAUGAAUUGACCACAAAACCACCUGGCACAUCACAGACACUCAACAGAAUAUGGUAGUAUUAUCACUGUGACUGGUCAGCUCAGAAAACCUCAAUUUAAAAAAAAUCAGAAGGUUGCACUGAAGCUGUAAUGAAAGCUAUCUGAUUCCCAGGAUCCGGAGUAAGCCGAUGAAGAAAAGAUUAAUGUUAGAGAGCGAGCAUCCAUUUAAGUGUCUAUUUCUUUUAAAAUGCUCACUCUAGAAGACGUACCUACUUUAUGGUUUCAGUCGUUGGUGUGUGGCAAUUUGAACAGUGGGUUAUAUAUUUUGUAAUAAAAGGAGAUUUGUAAGGACUGACUGCCCCUUGGGCCUCAGUGCAUCAUGGGAGAUGAUUCAGUUCUGUAGCAGGCACAUGACUUCUCUUUGGGAGUGAAAGGCCAACAGUGCUGGACAGUAACCAAGGACCAUCUCUGGCCUCAGGCAGAGUCUUCAGAUACCUCCUGCUGGAAUGCAACAAUGGAGGUCACUGGCAGGACAAGCCCAGAGCCUGAAUGAUUUUUACCAACUUGUUUUAGCCUGAUUGUGUGUAAUGAGUGGGUGUCUGUUGGGUGUAUGCAGAGAGAGAGAUGGCAUGGAAGCAACACAGAUCACUGACUGUAGAAUUGCAUAUUUGGUCUUUUCCUGCUUCUGAAUAAAAUUAGAAUAAAGUCUGUAAAAUUCACAUGAAUUUUAAACAUGUAGAUAUGUUUAAAAGUUUACUGGAAAACACAAAAAUUUAUAUCAAUGGACCAAGAUAAAUAUAUCAAUCUUUAUAAAUCAAUGAAUACAUUUAAUGUAAUUCCAAUAAAUAUGUCAAAGGUUUUCUUAAUAACACACAGUGUAGAUUGACAGAUAAAGAGGUGAACCCAUACAAAGUGCAUCAGACAGUGAGAGAAAGAGAGGCAGAAACAUGCAAAGACAAAAAGCCAGAGACAAUGACUUAGCAUAGAUUAGAGAUCCAGGUAUGAAGAAAAACAGAUUAUACAUAUGAGAUAUGUGAGAAUAUAACAAGGUAUAACUACAAUUGAUAUUACUAAUUUUAUUAUUUACUUACAUCUGUGUAAGACCUAGAAUAUACAAAGUCCUUUCCAUGUUUCCAAAUACUGGCCAACUAGGAGGUGAGCUAAUUAAUGGCUUCUCAUCCCAUCCCUGCCACUUAGAGACAUGCAGCUCUGGUUAAAAGUCGCCUAGAUCUUUUCUGUCUCCAUUUUCUAUACUGUAGAAUGGAAGUCCUCCUGUGUGCCCGACUACCUCCUCUGGAUGAGUGAGCAGUGAGGCACUCACUCUCUGUCUCCAUGGUUCUAUCAUAGUGCUGCAAAUUUCAGCUCAAUAAUUGAAUUUAACAUCCCAACAGAUUUUGUUCUACCCCACAGAGAUUUAAGUAUAUGGUUUUAAUUUCUUGCUGGCACCUGAAAAUCAGGAGCUAUUAAAUACAUAUCUGAAUAUGGGCUCCUUUGGAAACAUGAGCAAAUGGGUUAGAGAUGGUUUCUGCAAUGCCCUUUCAUUGGGCUUGCUCACUCAACUACAAUCUCCAUCCCUCCCUAUUGCUUCCCUGUUACCAGAUCACUACAUUCAUUUCUGUUACUUUCCUGGCCCCUAGACUUUUAAUAUUUGCAGCCUUUGUUCUAUCAUAUCCACAUAUUUUAUUGACAAUUUUAUCCGAUGGGUCAGUCUCCUGUCUCAGCAGCACAGGAUGUGUCUUCUUGACCCCUGGAUUUCCAGCCCCUAGCAUAGUGCCUGGCUCACAGUAGGUGCUCAGGAAAUGUUUACUGAGCUUAUCAUAGUGUCACACUGCAUGAGAGUAACAAGGAGAGAGAUCAAACAGAAGGGAAAGUGGGCAGUGAAGACAGCCUAUGAGAUCGGCCUAACCUCUGUAGUACAGGCAAGGGUGCAAUCAUAAACGCUGACUUUCUUACUUUCUUCCUACAGAUUUGCUCACUCCCUCCAAUGCCUCACCUGGCUAUGUGGGAAGACACUAGAGAGAGAGGAGCAGCAAUGCUUCAUCUUCCAUACUUUUACCCAGAAAGUUAGAAGCAACAACUUGGUGAUUUCCAGGCUAGAAGUGGUGCAAUGAGGAGCAGAGACCCUGGUAAAGGGUACCUGGAGGGAGCCAGAAGCAGACUGGCAAAGAGCAGAGAGAAUGGGCAGGCUCUGGGAGAGGUGAGCAUCAUGCAGGAACCGACACAGAGAGCAGGGUGUGGUGCUUGUAUGUGGUGUAGGCAGCCCUCAUUAGGAGAGACAUGACUGUGUAAGGAGGAAGCAUUUAGGGGCAGCGUAGUGGGAUAGCCAGGAGAGGUGGGCAUCUGGGAUCAAAUCCUUGAUACAUGCUGGCUGGAUGAGUGACUUUGAGCAGGUUAAUUGACCCCCUUUGGUCCUGUUUCCUAGUCUGUAAAAUGGGGACAAUAAUGAUAUUCACCUCAUUGGGAUAUUGCAUGAAUUAAAUGAGAUAAUGCAUGUUAAGUGCCUGACAUGUGUUUACUUAAUGCACUCUAUUAGUUUUCUACAGUUGCCAGAACAAAUUACCACAAACUGGGUGGCUUAAAAGAACAGAAAGCUAUUCUCUCAGUUUCAGAGGCUGGAAGUCCAAAAUCAAGGUGUCUGCAGAGUACAGUCUUCUGGGUCUCCAGGGGGAAAUUUGUUAUCAUUCUUUUGCUUGGGGCUGCCUCACUCUACUCUCUCUCUGUAUUCACAUGACCAUCUCUUACAUGUGUCUGUAACUUUUCUUCUGACUCUUAUAAGGACACUUGCCAUUGAUUUAGGGUCCAGCUGGUAAUGCAGGAUGAUCUCAUCCUAAGAUCCCUAACUUAAUUAAAUUAGCAUAGUCCCUUUUUCCAAAUGAGGUCACAUUCACAGGUUCUGGAACACAGAGGUAUCUUUUGAGCCACCAUUCAACCUAUUACAAUACCUAAGUACUGAGUGCUUUCUGUAAGCCAGAACUUAUAUGCAUUAUUUGAUUUGUUGCUUAAGCUAAAUCUUGGAGAAUAGAGUUCUGGGUUCCUUGCAGCCUAAUCCAGUUUCCCAAGUAAUAAGAGAGUACCAGGUGGGUACCAUGUGGGUGCUAUGAUUAGUGACCACAGGAAGUAGGUUCACAUAAUUUCUAGAUUCUCUGGAUUCCUCCCUCAGUCCUUUUCCCUGCACCUUGACUUAGGCCACAUACAGUAUCUUUUCCUUUCUCUGCAAAACUUCUGUAGUACGCCUUGUUGUGCUGUCCAGAUCCCCCUUCAAGAAAGGACUUUUGGUCCCAGUGGCUGGGAGUAUUGUCAUAAGCCUUCAACUUCUGAUCCUCCCCAGUGCAGAGUUGCCUCACUGGAGAUCACUUCUGUCUCAAGGUAGGCUACAUCCAGUGACAGAUGGAGACAGCAGUACAAAGGCCCUUUUAUUUCAGCCUCACAUGAGACAAGUUGGAUAGGGCAUUUUAACUCAUAGGGAGAAAGCAGCUUUGUGGGAUAUGCAUUGCAACUUCAAUUCUCCCUCUACCCAUUCCUCCUUCCUCUCCAUAUCCUCUCCAGGAUAUGCAUUGCAACUUCCUCUCUGUCUGUCUAUUCUCCUUCCAUGGCACUGAUCCCAAGAUAUUCCUGAUUAAACACUCUGCACAUUAAACUCCAAAUUAGAGUCUGCUGCUCAGAAAUUCUAACUUAUGCCAAUGUCUAAGGAUUAUAUAUUCUUGGGAUCACACAAUUAUAUGCAAAAUAGAAAAUUCACUGAGUUUGUAGUUACAUAUAAUGAUUCUGUUCCCAUAGGUGGCAAUACUUUAAACAAUGUCACCUUAAGGUUGUAAAUCAUAUUUUAAAUUUUGUUCCCAUAGGUGGCAAUACUUUAAACAAUGUCACCUUAAGGUUGUAAAUCAUAUUUUAAAUUUUGGGGGUAAUCUCUUUAGGGCUUUGAAGUUUUUCAUGUUCCUAUGGAACUUCAAAGAACAAACAACAUGAAUCUAAGACAAUUCUAAAACUCUGAAAUACUCCAUAAGUACCUGGAAAAAGGAGCACCAGUUUGUUGCUGAAAACUCGUUUGGGUGAAAAUAGUGUUUGAGGUUUCAACUGGAUGUGUAACUGUCUUUGAAUUUUUAGUUAAAUAAUGUGAUGAAAUUCAUCAGAUAUUUAGCACCAUCUGUGAUCAAGGAGUCAAACAAUAUAACACACAAGGGAGAAAGUGUCCUGUACUGGAUGAAAAAAUAGGCUUUGGGAAUAAAGCAGAUCUGGGUUGGACUAUUGUCUCUACUGCCCAGGGUCACGGAACUCUGCACCUCAGCUUCCCCAUCUAUUAAAUGGGGAUAAUAAACAUAUCCUCUAGAGAUUUUGUGAAGCUUAAAUGAGAUGAUCUACAUAAAACAUUUAUAAUAAUAAAUGCAA